UCCCUGAUGGCUCAGUGGUAAAGAACCUGCCUGCAAUGCAGGAGACCUAGGUGCGAUCCCUGGGUCGGGAA
rfam:Haemonchus contortus, ISE/inbred ISE, WGS project CAVP01000000 data, contig: Hcontortus_contig_pathogens_Hcontortus_scaffold_21377